UACAGAGGGGGCAAGCGUUAUUCGGAAUUAUUGGGCGUAAAGCGCGCGUAGGCGGCCCGGUAAGUCCGUUGUGAAAGUCAAAGGCUCAACCUUUGAAAGCCGAUGGAUACUGCCGGGCUAGAGUCCGGAAGAGGCGAGUGGAAUUCCUGGUGUAGCGGUGGAAUGCGCAGAUAUCAGGAGGAACACCGAUAGCGAAGGCAGCUCGCUGGGACGGUACUGACGCUGAGGCGCGAAAGCGUGGGGAGCGAACAGG
rnacentral:rRNA from 1 species